CCUACGGGUGGCAGCAGUGAGGAAUAUUGGUCAAUGGACGGGAGCCUGAACCAGCCAAGUCGCGUGAGGGAAGACGGUUCUAUGGAUUGUAAACCCCUUUAGGCGGGGAGCAAAGCCGGGCACGUGUGCCCGGAGGGAGAGUACCCGCAGAAUAAGCAUCGGCUAACUCCGUGCCAGCAGCCGCGGUAAUACGGGGGAUGCGAGCGUUAUCGGGUUUUAUUGGGUUUACAGGGUGCGUAGGCGGAUUUUUAAGUCAGCGGUAAAAUGUCCGGGCUCAACCCGGGCCGGCCGUUGAAACUGGGGAUCUUGAGUGUAGGAGAGGUAUGCGGAAUGCGUGGUGUAGCGGUGAAAUGCAUAGAUAUCACGCAGAACUCCGAUUGCGAAGGCAGCAUACCGGCGCCCGACUGACGCUGAGGCACGAAAGCGUGGGGAUCGAACAGGAUUAGAUACCCGGGUAGUC
rnacentral:rRNA from 1 species